rnacentral:lncRNA from 1 species
CCGAUCAUAUAGGUGCAGCUUGACAAUUCCGUGGGAUAUUGGAGAUGAACAAACUACAACAUUCACAUCCCCAAUUUUGCCAAAUCGUUCAAGGUGACAACUCCAAGGAUGAGCAUCGACAUGAUCCAGAACAUGUUCAAAUUCUAACUCCAAAGAAGGUGUGCACCACAUAAAUUGACAUUUUUUCCUUAAGAUCCUACCGUGUCUAAUAUAAUGCUCUUUUUUAUUUAUUUUUUGUUAAUUAACAGUGCCAUCGUGGAGGACCCAGGGUGGUUGGAGCGGCCAAAGCACAGCGUGACGCGGCCCGAAGAGCCCCAACUGCCUGACUGCCAAGCUGCGAUCGAUCCCAGAGCCCUGCCGGUGAACGUCGCUGGGCGACUGGCACAUUCAUAUGGUCAUGUUCAUCGUCCUGCUUCGGAGUUGCACGAGAUCAUCACACAGCUCCUUCGCCGCUUAUCUGCUUCGGAGUCGCACAGGGUAAUUCAUGUCUCCAGAAGAAUCUAUCAUUCAAGUCUUAAACAAAGAAGCCGAUGAGGUUGUUGCGUUGCGUCAAAUUUGGCAGUGGCACCAAGCAAAAGUUGAUGCCAUUUGACUAUAGCUGAAUCACAGCUCCGUACCCGGAGGGGUAAAAAAAAACUCCACUCAUCAACUGAGCAAAGUAUUUUCAUCCUUUGGCAAAGGAUUGCACAAAUGCAACACAUUUGUUGCAAAAGUAUCUGAGGCUUGCAGAGUUUGGAAUUGCACAACAACGAGUGACUGCACAAUGACUGUACGCCAGCGGGCAGGAAAAAUGAAUUCUACGCCAACUGUGUGUUUAGCUCAAUGCCUGAUAAUGAUAAGCCUCGAUGAGAUGCAGAGCUUGGACGUUUGCCAAGCGUGUUGUUAA